UAAGGAAUAUUGGUCAAUGGAGGCAACUCUGAACCAGCCAUGCCGCGUGCAGGAAGAAGGCCCUAUGGGUCGUAAACUGCUUUUUGAACAAGAGAAAACCCCGGUACGUGUACUGGGUUGAUAGUAUUGUUAGAAUAAGCACCGGCUAACUCCGUGCCAGCAGCCGCGGUAAUACGGAGGGUGCGAGCGUUAUCCGGAAUCACUGGGUUUAAAGGGUGCGUAGGCGGCUGUAUAAGUCAGUGGUGAAAGGCUGUGGCUUAACCAUGGGAUUGCCAUUGAUACUGUACGGCUUGAAUUAGGAUGAGGUUGGCGGAAUGUGACAUGUAGCGGUGAAAUGCUUAGAUAUGUCAUGGAACAUCGAUUGCGAAGGCAGCUGACUGGACCUUAAUUGACGCUGAGGCACGAAAGCGUGGGGAGCGAACAGGAUUAGAUACCCCCGUAGUCCCUGAGCGGGCUGGCAAGGCGCAU
rnacentral:rRNA from 1 species